ACAUGGAGGAGCGAGAUAACGUUGAUUGGGCGGCGUUAUGCACUUCAUUAGCUGAUGAGCGGCCUGUGAGGAAUUUAGAGGGAGCCAGGAUUCUUGACUUCGAUGAGUUUUUGAUUCCGGAUUCGGCGCCAGCGGGUCUACUAGAGUCACCCACUCAGGAGUUUUCUCAUGGGCCUACCGAGCCAGCGGUGUCUUCCCAUGUGACUGUCGAGCCACAUGAUUCGGCGCCAGUAGGUCCACAGGAGCGACUCAUUCAGGAGCCUUCUCAUCAGCCUGUUGAGGCAGAGGUGUCUUCUCAUGAGACUAUCGAGGCGCAGCAUCUCGUCCAGGAGACUACCUCAUAUUCUGCACCAGACCCAUCUCAGAAGCCUACAGACCCAUCUCAGGCGCCCGUUGAUACACAGGUUCAUCCUUCGGCGCCUGCGGUGGCGACUCCCGACAAGGAAGAGGUCGAGUUUCCAAACCCAGGUCAGCAUAAGGUUUUGCCCGUGCUAGCGGGACCAGAUCCCAAGAAGAAGCACAUUCUAGUCAAGGGCGCACGGACCAGGGGAAGAGGAGAUGAUCAUGACUUG